AUCCAAAAGGUUGUAUUUGUAGUAGGUGCCCCUCAAAGCACAAAAUGAAGCCGCCGCCAUCGCAACUACAAAAUUGUUUGCAGCCUGUGAUACAAACACAAAUAAAAAUCUAGCCAGCCAGAUAAUAUAAUUUGUAUUAAACAACAGUGGCAACAAAUGCAACCCGUAAAUUAAGUGGCUCAAAACUGGCAACCCAACACAUGAGUAAAGCCGUGUUGAUCUGAAACGCAGUGCCUGAAGUAACAUGUAUUUAAAAAAGGCUUGUGUUCCGUUGGACAUGAAAAAUCUCAUAAUUCUCUAGCUGGACAAACAUAGCAAGAUGAUAAGGAAAAAACAGUGGAUCUGUGUUAUACCCUAACCCAGUCGCUCCAGCCCUGGGUACACCCAGUCUUAGUUCAAAUGGAUCUGUGUUAUACUAUCAUGCAUGUGAUUUAUGGGCACACCAAUCAUACACAUACGGCAUACAACCAUAAAUGAUAUGGUCAAACCAGUUCUGAACAUGCUAAUGCAACCAUAAAAAUGCCAUGGAGAAUAAGCAGCAGGCAAAAAAAGUUGAAUUCUAGUGAGCUGCAGAUUUAUAUCUUGUUUAUGGAUCAUCAAGUUAAACAAAGCAUCUGUAACUUUGUCAGGAGACUGUAAUUUUUCCCAGUGAAAUUUGUUGCAUGGGUUGGCUUUCACAUAUCUAAAAGGGAACCAAAAGCCCUGAACGUCAAAAUGCUUGCAAGUACUAGAGAGAUAAGACAUAUAAUACUACUCCCUCUGUUCCCAGAUAUAAGUCUUUCUUCAUGGAUGGUCUAGAACCAGAAAUUCACAACAUUUAACAUUGGCUAAAGGACAUGAUCAAAUUAGUGGUACACAAAUGUUCCAUUUCUAAAACCAAAACAAUGUUCAGCGGCCACCGCCAGCAAACCAGUAGGGUUGACCGGCAUGCUUUUUAUGGUUUGAUUGAUGUAGCAUCUUUCUUCUAAUUCAGAUUAUUAUAUUAACUCUGAAAUUGUGUUCCUGUCAUAUGUUACUUUCCUCCGUCUUGUUAUUGUUCGUCUCUCACCUGCCAUGGGAAACAUGGGGUUUUCUUUCUUGCUGAUUUGUCAGAAGAGCAACCUAAUUUAACUAAUGAUUAUUUGCGACAAAUUUGUCCGAGGAAAAAUGCAUUCUUAUGACUGAACUAUAUGAUCUCAGUUCACUAACCUGAAAAGGAUUUAACAAACAAAGUACUGAAUGCAUCAAUUACAGUUUGGACUUGAUAUUAUCAUAUACAGGUAGCAGAGGUAUGCUACUUCAUUUACUGCUUGCUAUAGCCAAAAGGCACUGCUAUAUGUACUUUCUAAUAAUAGAAAUAACCAGAAACCAAUACAAUAUUCAGAAUAUUAAUAAGCAGAGAUAACAUCAAAUAAUGUAUUGCCACCAUGAAGUUCAAGACAGGUUAUGUGUAUGACUAAACAUGGGACAUACCUCACCCCCUUCAACAGAUACAUUUCAUUUUGAAUGUACAACCCAUAGCAAUCACUGUCUUUUUCGGAAUAAUCUGUACAAGCCUAUUGAUAUUGUUGGCUUUGACAUUCACAAUCCAAAGAGCCACCAUAGGUGUGUCCCUCAGGCACCAUAAAAGGGUAUGUAGAAUAACAGCAACCAACAUCAUGUGAUCCGAGAUAAUGACAGUACAACUGAAGGUUUGAAGCCCCAUAUU
rnacentral:lncRNA from 1 species